ensembl:lncRNA novel transcript, antisense to ANKRD54and MYH9
AGAACAAAGCAAGCAGAAGAGAAAAGGGUGAGCAGCUUGCUCAUCACUCUCUCUGUCUUCCCGUGCUGGAUGCUUCCUUCCUCUCCUCCUGCCCUUGGACAUCAGACUUCCUGGUCUUUGGCCUUUGGACUCUGGGACUUGCACCAGCGGCCUCCUGGAGGAUUACAGGGCUUCAUCCUAAGACCGAGACCUACGCAGUCGGCUUCUCUGGUUUUGAGGCUUUUAGACUUGGACUGAGUCACACUACGGGCUUCUGUCUUUCCCCAGCUUGCCAAGAGCCUGUUGUGGGAUUUCUGCUCGUAAUCAUGUGAGCCAGUUCUCCCUAAUAAACUCACUUCUAUGUGUAUUUCUGUGUGUACAUGUAUUCUAUUGACCAUGUCACUCUGGAGAACUCUGACUAAUGAAUGUAUUAAAGAGAUAGGAUGUGUUUUGAUAAAAGGGUUGAAAGAGGGCAUGGGACUGUGGUUCUUUUUAAGAAAACAUCAUUUUGUUUAGUUUAGAGGUUUUAAGGAUCAUUUCAAGUUAAAAGAAAGAUAUGGCAAAAAAGAAAUUUUAAGCAAAUUGUAGUAGGUUUGUGGAAGAUUGAUCUCAUAAAAGAAACCAUGUGUGAUGAAGUUUGGCUAAAAUUUAAAAGAAAUCAUUUAGUUUUUCUAUAAAUUGAACAUGAACAUAAAUAGCACAUGGAUGCUGGGCCAGCCUCUGAACCUCUGUGUCAGAGUAAUAGGGAAUACUCGGUAUAUUGAUCUGCUCUUUAACAGAAAAAUCUUAAAAGCUAUAAAAGAUUUAUGGAAAUUUUACCUCAUGAUCAAACUAAUUAAAAUUUGAUAGAUUUGUUUAUAGGAUUGUAUAAAAUGAGCUUCAGCAUUACUAAUCCAUUAAUACAAAGGUAACAUUUAGUUUUUCUCUUUUGAACAAGAUUUUUGUGUAAUAUCAAAACAUGAUGGAAGAGUUUUGUUUGCCUGUUGAGCAAACUAUAAAAGAGAAAGAAAUGAGAGAGAGAAACAGAUUCAGUUGGCCUCAUGUUGUCUAUAUGAUGUCUUAUUCUUUGGGAAACUGAGUCUUCUGUCCAUCACAGAGAAAAGGUUUCUGCUUUUUUGAAAUCUUUAAUUCUGUGUCCUUUCUCUCUGGAUCAUUCCAAUACAUACCUCUACUCUUCAGUUGGUCAGAGGAUGUUUAAGUCUAAUUUGUUUUUGUUCUUGCAUUUGCUUUUGUCUUGGUUUUGCUUUGCUGUGUGCUGCUUGCAUCCAAAGGAUCUUGACUGAUUUAAAAAAAAAUGAUACCAACCAGUUGGUUGCAGAUAACAGACCCUCAGGAUGGUUGGUAUUUGUGGAAUUAGCGUUCAGGCUGAGAGGGAGGGGGAACAACAGUGAAACUCCCCACGCCGACCAGCAUAGCACCUGCUGCCACCUGGUGGAACGUGGCUGAGACAAGGAACGCUGGGACCUGAAGCAGGACCUACACUUCAAACAAACAUCUGGCUUUGAAAUGUUUCCUGAAGGCAUCAAAUAAAUUGUGGCUGUCGAUGUUGUUGGCUGACUCUCCUCCUAUGAGAAUAAAAUUCAGAGACUGAUUC